UACGUAGGGUGCAAGCGUUGUCCGGAAUUAUUGGGCGUAAAGAGCUCGUAGGCGGUUUGUCGCGUCUGCUGUGAAAACGCGAGGCUCAACCUCGCGCCUGCAGUGGGUACGGGCAGACUAGAGUGCGGGAGGGGAGAUUGGAAUUCCUGGUGUAGCGGUGGAAUGCGCAGAUAUCAGGAGGAACACCGAUGGCGAAGGCAGAUCUCUGGGCCGUAACUGACGCUGAGGAGCGAAAGCUAGGGGAGCGAAUGGG
rnacentral:rRNA from 1 species